UCAGAUGUCCAAUCUUUAUUAAAGCAUUCUUCAAAUGAGCAAGAAUAGACAUUUAAUGUGUCUUAGGGAUCACGCAAAUCUUAUUUUUUAAAGGUCUACAUUAUAUUUUACAUAUUUCACAAUUUGAUGCCCCAAUAAAGCUGAUUCUCAACUAGUUUUCUCAGGUGAUAGUGGUUGACACGUAACAUCUGCACAAAAUCUUUUGAACACCAUCUCUACAUCUGGUAAGUUCCCUAGUGUGAAGCCUCCCAAAGCCACACAGAAUUUGGUGACAGUACAUGUCCUAUCCUCCACUAGGGUAGACAGACAUCUGACUUUAGUGUCCACCCACAGAGGACAAUGAUGCAGAAAUAGGAUAGAAGGGGGUGGAGGGGAAGCUACCAAGUCUUUGUUUCGUCAGUGUGGUUGGUGGCAGCCUCUGGGGCUCAGGUGGCUACAGUGGUGGCUGUGACCAUCCAGUGGUCAGCGGGUUCUUGCCUGGAAGAGGUGCAGCCAACUAGAAUUUCAGGUACCAGCUCCUUUCUCCAGCCAGCGCUGUUGUGUGGUUCUGAAACUCGGUCUUGGAGGCUCAGCCAGUUCUGCUUGCCCUGCAUUUAGUACCCUCCUUUCUACUUAAUUGACUCAGCGGUUCUUGAAGUUUGUGGUCCAAGGACUCUGGGGUUCCCCAAGGCCUUUUCAGGGGAUCUGUGAGAUCCUCCAUUUUCUAACUUUGGGUCUGUGUGAAGCCAGCUUUUUUCUUCGAUACACCUCAAUCAAAGCAGUAUCAUGGGGUGCCUGGUGGCUCAGUCAGUUAAGCAUCUGCCUUUGGCUCAGGUCAUGAUCCCAGGCUGAAGGGAGACGCUUAACGAAUGAGCCACCCACGCGCCCCUGGGAUUAUUUUAAAAUUAAUUAAAUAUUGCUCAGUUUUCAUUCCUAACAUGGUAAAUAUCAAUAGAUACGACACACGUAAACACAAGUUCUUUGGGGUCCUAAACAACUAAGGGACCUCCAAGAGUUUUAGAGUAUAAAAGGGCCUUAAGACCAAAGAGUGCUGAAACAGUAGAUUCUGUUACUUUAUCUAAAAAGGUAACCUCUAAUAAUAGGUUGAAUAUUAGAGGUUACCUUGAAUAUUAGAGGUUACCUUUUUAAUUUUCCAUCCAGAUUUGGGUGAUCAGAGAAGUUGGUUUAGACAGAAUAUAUAGUAUUGCCCCCACUGAGGAGAAAAGGAGGGAGAUGCAAAAGCAGCAUAUGUUGGAAGAAGGCCAGAGUCAAUGGGAGGGUCAGGAAAGCGGUGUCUUUCUAUGAAUGAAAGAUCUCAAGGAGGAAGACUUAGAACAAAGUCCCCAGAGGACACAGAACCAACACCAAAUACUUAAUCAUGAUAAAUAUUUCUUAAAAUUCACAUAUCCCCUCCUAUGCAUGGAUCAUUCAAUAUUCUUUAUAAUUCAUUCAUAACAGCCAGUCCUGGCUUAGGGAAGUCAGAGGCAGCUUCAGUUCCAGUGGCUGAGCAGAGGGAUGCCUGCCAAAAACGCCCUUCUGGAGCCAGGAACGGCUUGAGGAAGCUUUACAUGUCCAGGAAUCUUAAUUACAUCACUCUGUUCACUCCACACCUUCCUGGUCAGUGCCUAGGUCAAUGUCUGAUAUAUGGCAAGGUCAGAGCACAACUCAUCACAGAAUGAAUAUUUGACUAGAUCCAUAUCUCACAGAAUCAGUUUAAAUUUAAAAAGGUGAACACUUAGAUUUCUAAAGAGUCAUCUAGUAAUAAAAAUCCAGAAAGUGAAGGCCUCAUCAAACGUUGGAAGUUCCCUUUGGUUUGGCUGGGGUGAAGUACAGUCACUUGCAAUGCAUUUAGUCUUCAGUCAGUUAUCAUUUGGAAUUGUUCUCAUGUGUAAAUCAAUUCCAUCAGACUUUAUGACAGGAUGGCAAGGGCUCUAUUUCAUUCAUCACCAAAUACACAGAGACUAGCAGAAUAUCUGAACAAUCACUGAUUAAAUAGAAUCAACUGAAUGCAGGAAUGAACUCAGGCAUUCUUCAUUUUACUUUCCUUCAUAAUUGAUCAGUCAGUAUUGGUUAACAGUCCAUUGCCUUGGGGCGCUUAGGUGGCUCAGUCAGUUAAGCAUCUGCCUUUGGCUCAGGUCAUGAUCUCAGGGUCCCAGGAUCAGCCCCGUGGCGGGCUCCCUGCUCAGCAGGGAGUCUGCUUCUCCCUCUCCCUCUGCCUGCUACUCCCCCUGCUUGUGCUCUCCAUCUCUCUGUCAAAUAAAUAAAAUCUUAAAAAAGUCCACUGCCAUUCUUAUCUUGCACUUGUAAAAAUUACUGCCCUGUUCUGAAAGUAUCAUUAAAAUUGCUGAUACAAAAAAAAAAA